rnacentral:rRNA from 1 species
GACGAACGCUGGCGGCGUGCUUAACACAUGCAAGUCGAACGAAGAGCGAUGGAAGCUUGCUUCUAUCAAUCUUAGUGGCGAACGGGUGAGUAACGCGUAAUCAACCUGCCCUUCAGAGGGGGACAACAGUUGGAAACGACUGCUAAUACCGCAUACGAUCUAAUCUCGGCAUCGAGGAUAGAUGAAAGGUGGCCUCUACAUGUAAGCUAUCACUGAAGGAGGGGAUUGCGUCUGAUUAGCUAGUUGGAGGGGUAACGGCCCACCAAGGCGAUGAUCAGUAGCCGGUCUGAGAGGAUGAACGGCCACAUUGGGACUGAGACACGGCCCAGACUCCUACGGGAGGCAGCAGUGGGGAAUCUUCCGCAAUGGACGAAAGUCUGACGGAGCAACGCCGCGUGAGUGAUGACGGCCUUCGGGUUGUAAAGCUCUGUUAAUCGGGACGAAAGGC